UACGGGGGGAGCAAGCGUUGUUCGGAAUUACUGGGCGUAAAGGGCGCGUAGGCGGCCUUCUAAGUCAGACGUGAAAUCCCCCGGCUUAACCUGGGAACUGCGUCUGAUACUGGGAGGCUUGAGUAUGGGAGAGGGAUGUAGAAUUCCAGGUGUAGCGGUGAAAUGCGUAGAUAUCUGGAGGAAUACCGGUGGCGAAGGCGGCAUCCUGGACCAUUACUGACGCUGAGACGCGAAAGCGUGGGGAGCGAACAGG
rnacentral:rRNA from 1 species